UUAAUGACCCAACAUUCUGGCAGAAAUGCUGCAAACCUGGGACUGGCCUGGUUAUGGUGGCUGCUGAGUUCUCUAAGGGCGGUGCUGCAGUUCAUUUUGAUUCUAAUCCAGAUUCCUCAGCUGGGUUUGAAGCAAGCCAUGUCCUUGAGAAUGUCUUGCAUACCAAUGCUGCAAGCUCUGGAGGCUUUAUCUUCUAGCUGCAGCUCUCACAAGACCUGCAGAUGACUUGGGAUGUUCAGAAAACAGAACCAUCCAGAAUAAGGAAGAGGCAUACGGUGGCAGCUGGAUCAGAAAGCUAACAUCAUCUGUGGGAGAAAACCAGUUGACUAUUGCUGCUAUCUGACAUAACAAGUUGGACGAGCUCUUGACAAGUUAUGUUGUGCUGCCUGGGGC
rnacentral:lncRNA from 1 species